rnacentral:rRNA from 1 species
ACGGAAGGCAGCAGUGGGGAAUAUUGCACAAUGGGGGAAACCCUGAUGCAGCGACGCCGCGUGAGCGAAGAAGUAUUUCGGUAUGUAAAGCUCUAUCAGCAGGGAAGAUAGUGACGGUACCUGACUAAGAAGCUCCGGCUAAAUACGUGCCAGCAGCCGCGGUAAUACGUAUGGAGCAAGCGUUAUCCGGAUUUACUGGGUGUAAAGGGAGUGUAGGUGGCAUCACAAGUCAGAAGUGAAAGCCCGGGGCUCAACCCCGGGACUGCUUUUGAAACUGUGGAGCUAGAGUGCAGGAGGGGUGAGUGGAAUUCCUAGUGUAGCGGUGAAAUGCGUAGAUAUUAGGAGGAACACCAGUGGCGAAGGCGGCUCACUGGACUGUAACUGACACUGAGGCUCGAAAGCGUGGGGAGCAAACAGGAUUAGAUACCCUGGUA